rnacentral:rRNA from 1 species
UACGGGAGGCAGCAGUGGGGAAUUUUGGACAAUGGGCGCAAGCCUGAUCCAGCCAUGCCGCGUGCAGGAUGACGGUCCUAUGGAUUGUAAACUGCUUUUAUACGAGAAGAAACACUACUUCGUGAAGUAGCUUGACGGUAUCGUAAGAAUAAGGAUCGGCUAACUCCGUG